AGUGAACGCUGGCGGUAGGCCUAACACAUGCAAGUCGAACGGCAGCACAGUAAGAGCUUGCUCUUACGGGUGGCGAGUGGCGGACGGGUGAGGAAUACAUCGGAAUCUACUUUUUCGUGGGGGAUAACGUAGGGAAACUUACGCUAAUACCGCAUACGACCUACGGGUGAAAGCAGGGGAUCUUCGGACCUUGCGCGAUUGAAUGAGCCGAUGUCGGAUUAGCUAGUUGGCGGGGUAAAGGCCCACCAAGGCGACGAUCCGUAGCUGGUCUGAGAGGAUGAUCAGCCACACUGGAACUGAGACACGGUCCAGACUCCUACGGGAGGCAGCAGUGGGGAAUAUUGGACAAUGGGCGCAAGCCUGAUCCAGCCAUACCGCGUGGGAGAAGAAGGCCUUCGGGUUGUAAAGCCCUUUUGUUGGGAAAGAAAGGCAGCAGGUUAAUACCCCGCUGUUCUGACGGUACCCAAAGAAUAAGCACCGGCUAACUUCGUG
rnacentral:rRNA from 1 species